rnacentral:rRNA from 1 species
UGGGGAAUAUUGCACAAUGGGCGCAAGCCUGAUGCAGCCAUGCCGCGUGUGUGAAGAAGGCCUUCGGGUUGUAAAGCACUUUCAGCGAGGAGGAAGGCAAUCGUGUUAAUAGCACGGUUGAUUGACGUUACUCGCAGAAGAAGCACCGGCUAACUCCGUGCCAGCAGCCGCGGUAAUACGGAGGGUGCAAGCGUUAAUCGGAAUUACUGGGCGUAAAGCGCACGCAGGCGGUUUGUUAAGUCAGAUGUGAAAUCCCCGCGCUUAACGUGGGAACUGCAUUUGAAACUGACAAGCUAGAGUCUUGUAGAGGGGGGUAGAAUUCCAGGUGUAGCGGUGAAAUGCGUAGAGAUCUGGAGGAAUACCGGUGGCGAAGGCGGCCCCCUGGACAAAGACUGACGCUCAGGUGCGAAAGCGUGGGGAGCAAACA